UACGGGAGGCAGCAGGGGGAAUAUUGCACAAUGGGCGAAAGCCUGAUGCAGCUAUGCCGCGUGUAUGAAGAAGGCCUUAGGGUUGUAAAAUACUUUCAUCGGGGAGGAAAAAACAAAACUAAUAAUUUUAUUUCUUGACGUUACCCGAAAAAGAAGCACCGGCUAACUCCGUGCCAGCAGCCGCGGUAAUACGGAGGGUGCUAGCGUUAAUCAGAAUUACUGGGCGUAAAGAGCACGUAGGUGGUUUUUUUAAGUCAGAUGUGAAAUCCCUGGGCUUAACCUGGAACUGCAUUUUGAAACUGAAAUACUAGAGUAUCGUAGAGGGAGGUAGAAUUCUAGGUGUAGCGGUGAAAUGCGUAGAUAUCUGGAGGAAUACCUGUGGCGAAAGCGGCCUCCUAAACGAAUACUGACACUGAGGGUGCGAAAGCGUGGGGAGCAAACAGGGAUUAGAUACC
rnacentral:rRNA from 1 species